UACGUAGGGGGCUAGCGUUGUCCGGAAUCAUUGGGCGUAAAGAGCGUGUAGGCGGUCCGGUAAGUCCGCUGUGAAAGUCGGGGGCUCAACCCUCGAAUGCCGGUGGAUACUGUCGGGCUAGAGUACGGAAGAGGCGAGUGGAAUUCCUGGUGUAGCGGCGAAAUGCGCAGAUAUCAGGAGGAACACCUAUUGCGAAGGCAGCUCGCUGGGACGUAACUGACGCUGAGACGCGAAAGCGUGGGGAGCAAACAGG
rnacentral:rRNA from 1 species